rnacentral:rRNA from 1 species
CCUAAACAUGCAAGUCGAGCGGUAACAUUUCAAAAGCUUGCUUUUGAAGAUGACGAGCGGCGGACGGGUGAGUAAUGCCUAGGAAAUUGCCCUGAUGUGGGGGAUAACCAUUGGAAACGAUGGCUAAUACCGCAUGAUGCCUACGGGCCAAAGAGGGGGACCUUCGGGCCUCUCGCGUCAGGAUAUGCCUAGGUGGGAUUAGCUAGUUGGUGAGGUAAUGGCUCACCAAGGCGACGAUCCCUAGCUGGUCUGAGAGGAUGAUCAGCCACACUGGAACUGAGACACGGUCCAGACUCCUACGGGAGGCAGCAGUGGGGAAUAUUGCACAAUGGGCGCAAGCCUGAUGCAGCCAUGCCGCGUGUAUGAAGAAGGCCUUCGGGUUGUAAAGUACUUUCAGUCGUGAGGAAGGCGGUAACGUUAAUAGCGUUAUCGUUUGACGUUAGCGACAGAAGAAGCACCGGCUAACUCCGUGCCAGCAGCCGCGGUAAUACGGAGGGUGCGAGCGUUAAUCGGAAUUACUGGGCGUAAAGCGCAUGCAGGUGGUUCGUUAAGUCAGAUGUGAAAGCCCGGGGCUCAACCUCGGAACUGCAUUUGAAACUGGCGGACUAGAGUACUUGUAGAGGGGGGUAGAAUUUCAGGUGUAGCCGGUGAAAUGCGUAGAGAUCUGAAGGAAUACCGGUGGCCAAAGCGGCCCCCUGGACAGAUCUGAC